AGGCCGUGACAUGUACAAUGUU
rnacentral:miRNA from 14 species